UGAGGAAUAUUGGUCAAUGGACGAAAGUCUGAACCAGCCAUGCCGCGUGAAGGAAUAAGGCCCUAUGGGUCGUAAACUUCUUUUGUAUGUGAGCAAUAAGGUCCACGUGUGGACCGAUGAGAGUAGCAUACGAAUAAGCAUCGGCUAACUCCGUGCCAGCAGCCGCGGUAAUACGGAGGAUGCAAGCGUUAUCCGGAUUUAUUGGGUUUAAAGGGAGCGUAGGCCGUCUUAUAAGCGUGUUGUGAAAUGUCGGGGCUCAACCUGGGCAUUGCAGCGCGAACUGUGAGACUUGAGUGCGCAGGAAGUAGGCGGAAUUCGUCGUGUAGCGGUGAAAUGCUUAGAUAUGACGAAGAACUCCGAUUGCGAAGGCAGCCUGCUGUAGCGCAACUGACGCUGAAGCUCGAAAGCGUGGGGU
rnacentral:rRNA from 1 species